rnacentral:rRNA from 1 species
AGGACGAACGCUGGCGGCGCGCUUAACACAUGCAAGUCGAACGUGAAGCUGGAGCUUGCUCCGGUGGAAAGUGGCGAACGGGUGCGUAACACGUGAGCAACCUGCCCCGAAGACUGGGAUAACACCGGGAAACCGGUGCUAAUACCGGAUACCUUCUUCCGAUCGCAUGGUUGGAUGAAGAAAUGGAUUCCGCUUCGGGAUGGGCUCGCGGCCUAUCAGCUUGUUGGUGAGGUAACGGCCCACCAAGGCGACGACGGGUAGCUGGUCUGAGAGGACGACCAGCCACACUGGGACUGAGACACGGCCCAGACUCCUACGGGAGGCAGCAGUGGGGAAUCUUGCUCAAUGGGCGAAAGCCUGAAGCAGCGACGCCGCGUGCGGGAUGAAGGCCCUCGGGUUGUAAACCGCUUUCAGCAGGGACGAAAUUGACGGUACCUGCAGAAGAAGGCCGGCCAACUACGUGCCAGCAGCCGCGGUAA